GAUGAAGAACGUAGUGAAAUGCGAUACGUAGUGUGAAUUGCAGAAUUCAGUGAAUCAUCGAAUCUUUGAACGCACAUUGCACCUCUCGGUAUUCCGGGAGGUAUGCCUGUUCGAGCGUCAUUUGUACCCUCAAGCUCUGCUUGGUGUUGGGUGUUUGUUCCGCCUCUGUGUGUGAACUCGCCUCAAAACAAUUGGCAGCCGGCGUACUUGUUUCGGAGCGCAGCACAUUUUGCGAUCCAGAUCAACGUACAGCGGCAUCCAAGAAGCCUUAUUUAACGCUCUUGACCUCGGAUCAGGUAGGGAUACCCGCUGAACUUACGCAUAUCAAUAAGCGGAGGA
rnacentral:misc_RNA from 1 species